CAGCAGCCGCGGUAAUACGUAAGGUGCAAGCGUUAAUCGGAAUUACUGGGCGUAAAGCGUGCGCAGGCGGUUUGUUAAGACAGAUGUGAAAUCCCCGGGCUCAACCUGGGAACUGCAUUUGUGACUGGCAAGCUAGAGUGUGGCAGAGGGGGGUGGAACUCCGCGUGUAGCAGUGAAAUGCGUAGAUAUGCGGAGGAACACCGAUGGCGAAGGCAGCCCCCUGGGCCAACACUGACGCUCAUGCACGAAAGCGUGGGGAGCAAACAGGAUUAGAUACCCCGGUAGUCCCUGUCUCUUAUAC
rnacentral:rRNA from 1 species